GAAGGCUCCCUCUGGACGCUGUUCUUCGUGAACCCGGUCAGAUCCGGAAGGAAGCAGCCGUGACGAAUGAAUUUCGGGUCAGAGUGUGGGUCUUCUAC
rnacentral:SRP_RNA from 1 species